rnacentral:lncRNA from 1 species
CUUGACCUCCCAGGGAGGAGUGGAUGACCUGGGACGAUUUAGCUUGCAGAUGAGGGGAGGGCAAGCGUGGUGGUCCUCAAGGGCUGUCGAUGAAUACAGGCAUAAACAUGGUUCUGACUUUGAGGGUACAACCUGGCGACAAGAGAUGGACUUUUGAAUGGAGAGAACUUCUGACCCAUCAUCAAGAAGACUGGUUGCCCCGCCACGGCUGGCUGACCCUUCUUGUCUGGGGUUCUGUCGGGCACUUCUCAAUGAAGGUAGAGAGUCAUUCGAGAUGAGACAUACAUGGCCCCGCCCCGAUCUAAUAGUCCCAGACUCUAGUAUUUCUGUUGGCUUUGAGAUUUGACUAUGGAUAAGCGUGCUAUUCUAAAGUUGCAAAAUUUGAAGCUUGCCAAGAACUCUACAAAUCCUAAUGAAGUGCCCGGUGGCCUCACAUUGCUGUAUGAAGCCCCCCUCCUCCAUGGAUUAUGAAACACGGGGGUGGUGGUUCCAGCUCCUGGCAGGGUCAUAGAAAGGCGCUUUGAGAGCUGCCAUUGCUCAAGAACCCAAAGAUGGACCUUCAAACCCUCUUUUGAUAUUGCCGGUGGCUGCCCUUGAAACUUCAGAAGGGACGUCCACACCUGGCCCCGUGUUUGCACAUAAUCCAGUGGCAUCUGGACUUUUUUUUCAAUGGCCUGGAAGUCUGUGAAGUCAUUCCGAAGAGUGGCUUUCUUAUAUGCCUCGGCCAAAACAAGCACGGAGAAUCCUGGUCAUGAGGCACUUAAAAAUUUAUUAGGCUCUGGUAUUAAAUUAUAGCGUGACCUGUUAAACACGGAUUCAAAUGGGCCAUGGUUCAAAUCAAGCUCUCGCUCCCACUAGGGCUCUUCGACCAGCCAUGCAACAGACUGGUAGUGACCCCUCUGUCUCCAGAGGCAUCAAACUGUGUCUAUGUGACCACUUACGUGGGCAAUACUCACAGAGGGGGUUCUCGAACCCCACAGCAGAAAGGCGGUAAACUUGAAUGCAUUCAAGGCCUUGGAGGGCAGUGGAAGGGAAGAAAUGUGGCCAGCCACGGACGGGCGUGUGUGAUAACGGCUGGGCAGCUCUUACUUAAGCACCCAGUGGUGACAGGCAUGAUGGAUGCAGCCAGCCAAACCUGUCCUUAUGCCGCCUACCGUCUCGGGGGCCUGACAACGACCAGCCGGGUAAGGGAACAGUGUGCCUAGCAGAGCACCGUGAGAAGGGCGCAAGUUUUCCACCGGAGACCGGAACCUAGUCAUCCGGGAUGGGGACAGCUUCCUCGAGGAAGUGACUCGAGCCAAGAUCUAGAGGGUGCUGAGGGGUGAACGAGGCGAAGGGGACGAGAAAAGCGCUGCUGGAAGAGGAACAGUGUGUGCAAAGCCUGUGACCAGAGGCACCGGAAGGAGCCAGCACUGCUGGGAGCUGAGGCUGUCGAGGUUCGGGGUGAGCCAGACCCUGCAGUCUUGUCAUCCUUAGAGAAGACUUGGAUGCUGGUGCUGAGCAUGGGGGAAGCCUCUGGAGGAUUUCCAGCAAGGAAAGACAGAGUCUGAUCUGCGUUUGGAAAAGACUUCUCUGAGUACUAUUGGGAAGAGACAGGAGAUGGUGGGAGGGACGAGUGGGGACUGAGGGGAGCAGAAGAGAUUCAAGGGACCAGUGGGGUGGUGUGACGGAGGGACAACAUCCUGGGGAGACACGACGGGGGCCUGCCCGGAACCAUGCCAGCUGAACGAGAGGGAGAGGUCAGGCUUGAGGGCGCGUUAGGAUUUGGAAUCCUCCGGCCUUGGUGCAAGAUGGAAGGAGAGUUGGGACCGACUCCCGCGGUGCGAGCAGGUGCACCUGAAGGCCAGCGGGCCUCAGAUCUACGUGCGUGUCCCAGCAGCAGCCCGUGACGUAGGCAGCCUCUGGGACGGCUCCCAGCGACCCCCCGCUUCUGGGUUUUCACAACUUUGUGCUUUUCCCUCUUGAUUGUGGGCUGCACUUAGUGCCUUGUAGCCAAAAGACUAUGUCAGAGGUGACGGGAGAGGAGGCUGGGUUAUAAAAGGGCGGUGACCUCUGUUUGGUGCUCUCUCUCGGUCUCUCCAUGGCUCGAGCUGGGGAGAGGCCCGUGCGAGUGCACUUGGAAGUGGAUCUUCGGAGGCCUGCCAUAAGCUGUCUAAGUGAGUUUGGAAUCUGAUCACCCCCAGUCAAGCCUUGAGAUGACCGCCACCAAGGCUGACACCGCGACGGCAGCCUCAUGGAAAACCUCGAGUCACAGCCACCCCGUUAAGCCACUUGCAGAUUCCUGACCCACAGAAACUGAGAGUUAAUAAUCGUGUUAUUUCCAGCUGCUGAAUUUCAGGGUCAUGUGUUAGGCGCAGCCGUAGGUGAUGAAUACAGCUCUCCCUGACACAGGCUGCACCCUCGGCUUCCUCGGGGCUGGGAAGGGAAGGGUUAACCACAGAGCCCAGGCCUCCAGGCCAGCAGCAAGGUUAAGGCCUCCGGCUUGAGGGACAGUUCAUUACAGAGUUAUCUAGUGGCCCAGCCAACAUUUGGGUCUGCAGCCAGCUGGGCCUCCGCCGUCCUGCGGUGCCUGUCAUAACAGGGGCCCUCGAGGGGAGGCGUCCUGGAAAUGGACAGAUUUAUGAACAGCCUCACUUCCCUGCAUCUGCCCAUGACGUGCCAGCUGCAAGUAGAGCCAGUGGGGCCUUGUGGCCGUGUCCCCAGUGGGGGGACACUGCCUCCACUCCCACACCACGCUGCCUCCCGGAUUUCAUGGCCCCGGGGCUGCUAUGUUGAGUCCAGAGAGAGGUGCCGAGGGACUCCCCCAAAUCCCAGAGAUGGCCAAUACCUACAUGGGUGUACGAAGCACCUCCUGGGGGACGAGCCCUUAUAGCCAUCACCUCGUUUCACCCUCUCAGUAACCCUGCCAAAGUGAGACUGCCUAUGAGCUCCGCCCCGUUGCAGGGGAGAGAACCAAGGUCCAAGGUCACGUAGCAGGAAAACACAAGAGCGUCUGACUCCGAAGUGUGUGCUUACCCACUGUGUCUCUCUGGUGGCUCUGUGAUGAGGAGGGAUUUGGCGCCUCAGUGGUUGGGGGAGCUGCUUCGGGGAGUAAGGUGGGAGAGCCAAGGAGGCAGGGCCCCAUCCAACUCCAGCGAAAGCAGCUCUCCUCUCCCGGGUUGUGCCGUCAAGGGACCAUGUGAAAUUGCAUUUCACAAACCAGGUAGCAUGGUGUUUCAGGAUGCGUGGUCUGAACUGAGGACUCGAAGUAGGAAGAGAAGUCUGGUGCAGCAGGGACAGGGGGAAGAGGGCGAGAAAUAACCGUUGUGGGUUUUCUCUGAAAGCAGAGCCUAGGAGGAGGGAGUGGACAGCAAUAAGAUUAGAAACUGCUACACAUAUUUCCCGGAGCCGUAAAUCCUGGUUCAUUUUACCCAAUUUACCAAAGGGAUUAAGCUGACAUAGAGAGGAGCCAAAAGAGAGAAGACAGGCUGCCUUCCGGGACUGGCUGUUCAAAGAGCUGAGGCCCAGACUGGCAAGGGACAAACCUCUCACCCUGAGCCCAGGUUCUUUCCCCAGCACCCCUGGACACGGCCCAUCCUGUUCCUGCUGGAACCCUUCCAGUAGGGGGGAGCUCACGCAGGUACCUGUUCCCACGGGUUCAGCUCUCAGUGCUCAGAAGACCUUGCCCUGCAAAAACAAACCUUCCCCCAACAGCUUCAUUCAAUAAUUCAGUGGGUUGUUACAUAAAAACAUACUUUUAAUAUAUUUAUUUUGAAUCCAAUAAAAAUGCUAAAUUUUCUUGUCA